rnacentral:rRNA from 1 species
CCUACGGGCGGCAGCAGUGGGGAAUAUUGGACAAUGGGGGCAACCCUGAUCCAGCCAUGCCGCGUGUGUGAAGAAGGCCCUCGGGGUGUAAAGCACUUUCAGUGAGGAAGAACGCCUGGUGGUUAAUACCCAUCAGGAAAGACAUCACCCACAGAAGAAGCACCGGCUAACUCCGUGCCAGCAGCCGCGGUAAUACGGAGGGUGCGAGCGUUAAUCGGAAUUACUGGGCGUAAAGCGCGCGUAGGUGGCUUGAUAAGCCGGUUGUGAAAGCCCCGGGCUCAACCGGGGAACGGCAUCCGGAACUGUCAAGCUAGAGUGCAGGAGAGGAAGGUAGAAUUCCCGGUGUAGCGGUGAAAUGCGUAGAGAUCGGGAGGAAUACCAGUGGCGAAGGCGGCCUUCUGGACUGACACUGACACUGAGGUGCGAAAGCGUGGGUAGCAAACUGGAUUAGAUACCCCUGUAGUC